GGUGGUUCUUGGGUGAUGCACCCUGGAAUCGGGCUUCUUCCUCUCUGAUUCCAGG
rfam:Myotis davidii contig15783, whole genome shotgun sequence.